CACGGAGACCCCAAGCGUUGUUCGGAAUUACUGGGCUUAAAGAGGGUGUAGGCGGGACGGCAAGUACCUUGUGAAAGCCCCGGGCUCAACCCGGGAAUGGCUGGGUAUACUGCCGUUCUUGAGGCAGGCAGGGGUCACUGGAACCUUAGGUGGAGCGGUGAAAUGCGUAGAUAUCUAAGGGAACGCCUGUGGCGAAAGCGGGUGACUGGGCCUGUUCUGACGCUGAGACCCGAAAGCGUAGGGAGCGAACGGGAUUAGAUACCCCCGUA
rnacentral:rRNA from 1 species